AACCGAUAGAUUAAUUUGACCCAAUACAGAUUCAAAUCCUUUGAUUUGGUGUAGGUUCUAUGAGCUUGAUUGCGCAGCACACACAGCAAUAAAGCUUGGAUUCGGCAAAAUUGAAACUUGAUUCUUACCCUCAUCAGGGGAACUUCGAUGUGGGUAUUGAUAUGAGUUUGCCAAGGUUUGGACGUCCCAAGAAUGGUGGUGAGUUGAGUGCGAACCUUUACGUGGCCAAUUGUGGGCCCGCGGUGGGGAUUUCUGAUGAUGACAUUGCAUCAGUGUUCUGCAAAUUUGGAGAGCUUAAGGGAGUUUAUGCAGCAGACGAUAGUGGGACACGUGUCAUUGUGGCCUAUGCUGAAGAGGGCUCUGCACAAGCUGCCUUGAAGGCAUUACAUGGACGCCCAUGUCCUCAACUUGGAGGUCGGUCCAUGCAUAUCCGUUAUUCCGUGCUUCAGCCAAAUAUACAGGAUCAAGCUAGUGACUUGGUUCCUGUAUCUAUCUCUGCAUCAGAAGUGAGCAUUUCAGGCCUUUACCUAAUUCAUGACUUCAUUAGUGCUAAAGAAGAAGAGGAACUGCUUCAGGCUGUUGACUGCAGGCCCUGGAACAGUCUUGCAAAAAGAAGGGUUCAACACUACGGUUAUGAGUUUCGCUAUGAUACUAGGAACGUUAAUACAAGGCAUUGCUUAGGUGAACUUCCGUCAUUUGUUUCUCCAAUACUAGAAAGAAUUUCAUCAUGUCCAAGUUUCAAGAAUAUUAAAAAUAUAGUUUUGGACCAACUUACGGUAAAUGAGUACCCACCUGGAGUGGGUCUGUCCCCUCAUAUAGACACUCACUCUGCAUUUGAAGAUUUAAUUUUCAGCCUUUCAUUAUCAGGGCCCUGUAUAAUGGAGUUCAGACGGUAUGAAAAUGGUGAUUGGCUUCCUAAAGUUGCCUCAAGUUCUAUUGCAAAAUCAGAAAAUACAGAAGAUCAAUCAAAUUUUAAAAGGAGAGCUAUCUAUCUUCCUCCUCGGUCUUUGCUACUCUUGUCUGGAGAAGCACGUUAUGCCUGGCAUCAUUACAUUCCACAUCACAAGAUUGAUAAAGUUAAUGGCAAUGUCAUUAGAAGGGCUUCAAGAAGGGUAUCUUUUACAUUUCGUAAGGUUAGAGCAGGUUUAUGCAAAUGUGAUUUUCCGCAGUAUUGCGAUUCUCAAAGAUAAGGUUUAACUGAGGCGGCAGUGAGAAUGAGUAAUUGAGAGUUGGACUGGUAUAACCUGAGAUAUUCCACACAAGAGUAUUCCAAUAAUUUUUCAGUGGUAACCAAAUGGGCUUCCCUGGCAUAACAUUUCUGUCAAGGGUCGGAUUCAUAUAACUCAUUUUCAAUUUUGUUUUGAUUACAUUAUUUUGCGAGCACUUGGUGUUUAACGUUCAGAUGGAGAGCAUUAUGCUGACCAAAUCUUUUAAAUCACUCAGUUUUAAACCAGUAUAUAUUUAUGUAAAUGGAAGUCUGGGUGAAUCCAUACAACCAAAAACAACAGCACAUGAAUGGAAACGUGGUCGUUUUAUGAUGAAUCUUAACUGCACUAACCCAAUGCUAUGUAUA